rnacentral:rRNA from 1 species
AUUGAACGCUGGCGGCAGGCCUAACACAUGCAAGUCGAGCGGUAACACAGAGGAGCUUGCUCCUUGGGUGACGAGCGGCGGACGGGUGAGUAAUGCCUGGGGAUCUGCCCGAUAGAGGGGGAUAACUACGGGAAACUGUAGCUAAUACCGCAUAAUGUCUACGGACCAAAGUGGGGGCUCUUCGGACCUCAUGCUAUCGGAUGAACCCAGGUGGGAUUAGCUAGUUGGUGAGGUAAUGGCUCACCAAGGCGACGAUCUCUAACUGGUUUGAGAGAAUGACCAGUCACACUGGAACUGAGACACGGUCCAGACUCCUACGGGAGGCAGCAGUGGGGAAUAUUGCACAAUGGGCGCAAGCCUGAUGCAGCCAUGCCGCGUGUGUGAAGAAGGCCUUCGGGUUGUAAAGCACUUUCAGCGGGGAGGAAGGGUCACUAGUUAAUACCUAGUGGCAUUGACGUUACUCGCAGAAGAAGCACCGGCUAACUCCGUGCCAGCAGCCGCGGUAAUACGGAGGGUGCAAGCGUUAAUCGGAAUUACUGGGCGUAAAGCGCACGCAGGCGGUUUGUUAAGUCAGAUGUGAAAUCCCCGAGCUCAACUUGGGAACUGCAUUUGAAACUGGCAAGCUAGAGUCUUGUAGAGGGGGGUAGAAUUCCNGG